CCAAUCAAUGCACCAUUGAAUCAUCAUCAGCGCUCGAUUGUCACUGUUCAUCGCCGGAUUUUUCGUCAUUACCUGCAAAAGAGGAAAGAAAAACAACAGCAAAUAUGGCAAGAAAAUAAAAUCACAGAUUGUAAAUUUGUUUUCAGUGGCUAUAAAAGCCCGAAUCAAGAAAAUGUAAAGGGGAUAUAGACACAGAUUCAAUAAAAAAUAUCUAUAUAAAGAUAUUCACAAGAAAAGAAACAUCAACAGAUUAUCGAGAAAACAGAGGUGAAUCUUUUACCCUUUUUAUGAUCAUUGUUUUGUCAUAAGUAAAUAAAAAUAUCACUAAAAAGAAUAGGAGGGGGCUUACCGAUGGAUUCGCACUGAAAAAUGAAGCCUUUCAGCUUCUGGCCGCCAUAUUCGGCAGAGUUAGCGACGACGCUUGGGCGCAUGUCCCCAACAACCAGGGCUUGGCCUGACGGAAGUCGGAGCCGGAGAACUCUCCUCCUUCAAAAGCCGGAGCUCGGAG
rnacentral:lncRNA from 1 species